AUUACUGACCAAGACUUCCAUAUCAUAUGACUUGGUAUUUAUCUGCUUUGCUAUAUAAAUAAAACAAAUAUCAAAUAAUCUGUGAUCAUACUUAGGUGGAAGAAUUUCGUCGGUGUUAAGAAAAUGAAGUCCUUUGACUUCAUUAUGUGCUUCACUGUUCUUUUGGCCCUUGUUCUAGUUUCUUCUGCCGGAAGAACUUAUCCACCCAAAACUGAGAAUUCAAAAGGUGCUGAAGGACAACAGGGUACAUAUACUUAUAAUAACCAUAACAGCGGUUGGGGAGGGUGGGGAGGGUGGCCCUAAGAUUGCAACUUCAUAUUUGUGUAGUGAUAUGAUAUUGUUUGGGUGGUUGUUACAGGCAACAUAAUAAUUAUGGCAAUUUGAUAUUUGUGUUAAGUUGAA